GUGGAGCUUGCUCCAUGAUUCAGCGGCGGACGGGUGAGUAAUGCCUAGGAAUCUGCCUAUUAGUGGGGGACAACGUUUCGAAAGGAACGCUAAUACCGCAUACGUCCUACGGGAGAAAGCAGGGGACCUUCGGGCCUUGCGCUAAUAGAUGAGCCUAGGUCGGAUUAGCUAGUUGGUGAGGUAAAGGCUCACCAAGGCGACGAUCCGUAACUGGUCUGAGAGGAUGAUCAGUCACACUGGAACUGAGACACGGUCCAGACUCCUACGGGAGGCAGCAGUGGGGAAUAUUGGACAAUGGGCGAAAGCCUGAUCCAGCCAUGCCGCGUGUGUGAAGAAGGUCUUCGGAUUGUAAAGCACUUUAAGUUGGGAGGAAGGGCAGUAAGUUAAUACCUUGCUGUUUUGACGUUACCGACAGAAUAAGCACCGGCUAACUCUGUGCCAGCAGCCGCGGUAAUACAGAGGGUGCAAGCGUUAAUCGGAAUUACUGGGCGUAAAGCGCGCGUAGGUGGUUUGUUAAGUUGGAUGUGAAAGCCCCGGGCUCAACCUGGGAACUGCAUCCAAAACUGGCAAGCUAGAGUACGGUAGAGGGUGGUGGAAUUUCCUGUGUAGCGGUGAAAUGCGUAGAUAUAGGAAGGAACACCAGUGGCGAAGGCGACCACCUGGACUGAUACUGACACUGACGUGCGAAAGCGUGGGGAGCAAACAGGAUUAGAUACCCUGGUAGUCCACGCCGUAAACGAUG
rnacentral:rRNA from 1 species